rnacentral:rRNA from 1 species
CAAUAGCGUAUAUUAAAGUUGUUGCAGUUAAAAAGCUCGUAGUUGAACCUUGGGCCUGGCUGGUCGGUCCGCCUCACCGCGUGCACUGGUCCGGCCGGGCCUUUCCUUCAGGGAAACCGCCUGCCCUUCGCUGGGCGGGUUGGGGCACCUGGACUUUUACUUUGAAAAAAUUAGAGUGUUCAAAGCAGGCAUUCGCCCGCAUACAUUAGCAUGGGAUAAUAAAAUAGGACGUGCGGUCCUAUUUUGUUGGUUUCUAGGACCGCCGUAAUGAUUAAUAGGGAUAGUCGGGGGCAUCUGUAUUGCAUUGUCAGAGGUGAAAUUCUUGGAUUUAUGCAAGACAAACUACUGCGAAAGCAUUUGCCAAGGAUGUUUUCAUUAA